GUUUUGUGGUCUCAUUAGUGGACGGAGUAGGCCCUGACAAGACUGCGACUACACAGGCUGAUCGGCAGCUACACUGGUCGAUUAUGACAUAAGACUCUUUCUCGCAUGACGUGACUCUAUAAGCUUUCAUUACGGACACAAUUACAUCUUGUCCAUACUAAAAAACGUUACUUGCAUUCAGGCAAAACGUUUUUUAAAUAAGCGCAUAUAAAUUAUUUUAAGUCUAUACAUUGUUUAGUACAUGUACACAUAUUUACCAUUUUGUUCAUAAAAAAUUGAACAGUUGGCCAUGCACUCAUCAACUCCAGACUCCCUAUGACCCAACCCCCUCUUAAGAGGCCUCCCCGCUUAAGCAGCCAAUUAGGCUGUUUCCCUUGACUGGCUGCUUAAGAGGGGUUGGACUGUAUAUUUUAUGUACAUACAUAAAUAAUAAGUGUAUAUAUCCACUGUAUAAAAAAAACAAAUAAUUUCUGCAAAUGAUGAAUCAAAUGUGCAUAUUUCGUGCACCCAUGUCUGCCGAUCAUUUCAAUAAAAAGCCUGUUUCAUUAUAAAUUCUUUAAAUACUCAAUUGCAACAAUAAAUAUGUUUCCCGGCAUGUUUAUUGAAAAAUAUAUAUUGAGAGUCCAUGUAACAACUUAACCGAAGAACACUUGAAUGAAAUUACAAGUAAUAAGCAUGCUUUCCAGCAAUAAAUCAGCCUACAUUUUUUCUUCAUAAAAUUUUGACACUUUGAUAAGUGGGUAGAUGAAGGAUUUGAAAAAGCAAUAUGAUCCCAGAUUUAUGGAGGAUAUUUAAUCUGUUUGAAACUGUUCAUGAUUUAUGAUACAUUUGCAAUAAAAUGUGCGAUUUUCUUCUUUAUUGGUCAUUGAACGCCCUUUGUGCGGAGUGUACAUUAAAUAAACGGAACAAUGAUAUGGCAUGUUGAAGUCCCGGUUUAUCGUGUGAUUUUAGUUUAGUAUUUGAAAUAACAUGUUUAAUAAAUAAAAAUAAAAUAUA